rnacentral:rRNA from 1 species
AAACCGACCUGGCUCACACCGGUUUAAACUCAGAUCAUGUAAAAUUUUAAAGGUCGAACAGACCUAAUAUAUUAGCUUCUACACCAACAAUUAAUUUUAAUCCAACAUCGAGGUCGCAAACUUUUCCUUCGAUAAGAACUCUAGAAAAAAUCACGCUGUUAUCCCUAAGGUAAUUUAAUCUUAUAAUCUAAACUCUUAGGAUCAUUCAAUCACAAAUUAGUGUAAAUAUUCAAAAAAAGUUUAAUUAAUUUUUCCAUCACCCCAACAAAAUACUUUUGCAAAUAUAAAAAUUUGUUCUAAGCCAUAAACUCCUUUAUUUACAAAAAUAUAAAACUCUAUAGGGUCUUCUCGUCUUCCAUUUCUAUUUAAGCUUUCUUACUUAAAAAUAAAAUUCUACUAAAAUUUUACAGAGACAGUCUUUUUCUCAUUUAACCUUUCAUACAAGCUUUCAAUUAAAAAACUAAUGAUUAUGCUACCUUUGCACAGUCAAAUUACUGCGGCCGUUAAAUCCCUCACUGGGCAGGUC